UAAAACCAGCACCUCAAGUGGUCAGGAUGAUUAUUGGGCCUAAAGCAUCCGUAGCCGGCUUUGUAAGUUUUCGGUUAAAUCUAUAUGCUCAACAUAUAGGCCGCCGGGAAUACUGCAAAGCUAGGGAGUGGGAGAGGUAGACGGUACUCCGUAGGAAGGGGUAAAAUCCUUUGAUCUAUGGAUGACCACCUGUGGCGAAGGCGGUCUACCAGAACACGUUCGACGGUGAGGGAUGAAAGCUGGGGGAGCAAACCGGAUUAGAUACCCGGGUAGUCCCAGCUGUAAACUAUGCAAACUCAGUGAUGCAUUGGCUUGUGGCCAGUGCAGUGCCGCAGAGAAGUCGUUAAGUUUGCCGCCUGGGAAGUACGUACGCAAGUAUG
rnacentral:rRNA from 2 species